rnacentral:rRNA from 1 species
GUGGGGAAUAUUCCGCAAUGGACGAAAGUCUGACGGAGCAACGCCGCGUGAGUGAUGAAGGUUUUCGGACUGUAAAGCUCUGUUGUUUGGGACGAAAGUGCCUGUUGCGAACAGUUACGGGUAUUGACGGUACUAAACGAGGAAGCCACGGCUAACUACGUGCCAGCAGCCGCGGUAAUACGUAGGUGGCAAGCGUUGUCCGGAAUUAUUGGGCGUAAAGAGCAUGUAGGCGGGAAUCUAAGUCUGUUGUUAAAAUGCGGGGCUCAACCCCGUAUUGCGAUGGAAACUGGGUUUCUUGAGUGCAGGAGAGGAAAGGGGAAUUCCCAGUGUAGCGGUGAAAUGCGUAGAUAUUGGGAGGAACACCAGUGGCGAAGGCGCCUUUCUGGACUGUGUCUGACGCUGAGAUGCGAAAGCCAGGGUAGCGAACGGGAUUAGAAACCCGGGUAGUCC